CCUACGGGAGGCAGCAGUGGGGAAUAUUGCACAAUGGGGGAAACCCUGAUGCAGCGACGCCGCGUGAGCGAGGAAGUAUUUCGGUAUGUAAAGCUCUAUCAGCAGGGACGAAAAAAGACGGUACCUGACCAAGAACCCCCGCUUAACUACGUGCCAGCAGCCGCGGUAAUACGUAGGGGGCAAGCGUUAUCCGGAUUUACUGGGUGUAAAGGGGGCGCAGACGGCAGUGCAAGCCAGGAGUGAAAGCCCGGGGCCCAACCCCGGGACUGCUCUUGGAACUGCAUGGCUGGAGUGCAGGAGGGGCAGGCGGAAUUCCUAGUGUAGCGGUGAAAUGCGUAGAUAUUAGGAGGAACACCAGUGGCGAAGGCGGCCUGCUGGACUGUGACUGACGUUGAGGCCCGAAGGCGUGGGGAGCAAACAGGAUUAGAUACCCCAGUAGUC
rnacentral:rRNA from 1 species